CCUACGGGUGGCAGCAGUGGGGAAUAUUGGACAAUGGGCGAAAGCCUGAUCCAGCCAUGCCGCGUGUGUGAAGAAGGCCUUCGGGGUGUAAAGCACUUUCAGUGGGGAAGAAAGCCUUGGGGCUAAUACCCUCGAGGAAGGACAUCACCCACAGAAGAAGCACCGGCUAACUCCGUGCCAGCAGCCGCGGUAAUACGGAGGGUGCGAGCGUUAAUCGGAAUUACUGGGCGUAAAGCGCGCGUAGGCGGUCUGAUAAGCCGGUUGUGAAAGCCCCGGGCUCAACCUGGGAACGGCAUCCGGAACUGUCAGGCUAGAGUGCAGGAGAGGAAGGUAGAAUUCCCGGUGUAGCGGUGAAAUGCGUAGAGAUCGGGAGGAAUACCAGUGGCGAAGGCGGCCUUCUGGACUGACACUGACGCUGAGGUGCGAAAGCGUGGGUAGCAAACAGGAUUAGAUACCCCAGUAGUC
rnacentral:rRNA from 1 species